ACACGACUCUCGGCAACGGAUAUCUAGGCUCUCGCAUCGAUGAAGAACGUAGCAAACUGCGAUACUUGGUGUGAAUUGCAGAAUCCCGUGAACCAUCGAGUCUUUGAACGCAAGUUGCGCCCGAAGCCAUUAGGCCGAGGGCACGUCUGCCUGGGCGUCACGCA
rnacentral:rRNA from 1 species